GGAUGUAGCUCAGUUGGUAGAGUACUCGCCUUGCAUGCAUAAGGCCCUGGGUUUAAUCCCCAGCACCA
rnacentral:tRNA from 1 species